rnacentral:rRNA from 1 species
GACGAACGCUGGCGGCGUGCCUAACACAUGCAAGUCUACGAGAAAAGGGUAGCAAUAUCCUGAGUAAAGUGGCGCACGGGUGAGUAACACGUAGGCAAUCUGCCUUUAGGACGGGAACAACCCCGGGAAACCGGGGCUAAUACCCGAUAAUGCAGCGGCACCGCAUGGUGACAGUUGUUAAAUGCCCGCAAGGGCGCCUAGAGAUGAGCCUGCGCCCCAUUAGGUAGUUGGUGAGGUAACGGCCCACCAAGCCUACGAUGGGUAGCGGAUCUGAGAGGAGGAUCAGCCACACUGGAACUGAGACGCGGUCCAGACUCCUACGGGAGGCAGCAGUGAGGAAUAUUGCGCAAUGGCCGAAAGGCUAACGCAGCGACGCCGCGUGAAGGAUGAAGUCCGUUAGGAUGUAAACUUCUUUUGCAGGGGAUGAAUGUUCCGGUUUCCGGAAUUGACCGUACCUUGCGAAUAAGGAUCGGCUAACUACGUGCCAGCAGCCGCCGCGGUAA